AUAAUAUAGAGGUUUGAAAUUGUGAAUAAUUAUCACUUGAUUGACACGUGACGUCACCGUUAGCUCGUCACUCUGGCUGUUAGCCUGUGGUCUGCUCGGCUUCACCUGAGCUAACAGGCUAAUCCCCGUCACCGAGCACGAGCGGAGUCUGUGGAGGAGUUUUCACUCACAUGUCGGAUGAAUAUCAUCGUUUGUUGUUCGACUGAUGUCCUGACGGAGAAGUGGAAGACGUCUGUGCUGCAGUGUCUGUGGGACGGACGAACCUGAGGGACACAGCUGAGCUUACCGUGUUCUGUCUCUUAUGGCAAAAA